UUUGUUAUCUCUUCAAUUGGCCGUUUCAGAAUCUAAAGCAUCAUGGGUAAUUUCAUUGUUCGUACCCCAAAGUAAAAAUAACGUCACGUCAUUGGUUAAAUUUCCAUUGUUUAUAACGUUUUAAACCAAUCAAAACGCUUUGGUGUACGCUUUUGAAAAUAUUACCCAGGAUGCAUUAGAUUCUGAAACGGCGAAUUGUCUUAAAA
rnacentral:lncRNA from 1 species